UGGGGAAUCUUGGUCAAUGGGCGAAGGCCUGAACCAGCGACGCCGCGUGAGUGAUGAAGGCCUUCGGGUUGUAAAGCUCUGUGGGGCGAGACGAAAGCCUAGUUUCUAAUAGGAGCUAGUUUGACGGUAUCGCCUUAGCAAGCACCGGCUAACUCUGUGCCAGCAGCCGCGGUAAGACAGAGGGUGCAAACGUUGCUCGGAAUCACUGGGCGUAAAGGGCGUGUAGGCGGGAGAGAAAGUCGGGCGUGAAAUCCCUAGGCUCAACCUAGGAACUGCACUCGAAACUUCUUUCUUGAGUGCCGGAGAGGAAAGCGGAAUACCUGGUGUAGAGGUGAAAUUCGUAGAUAUCAGGUGGAACACCAGUGGCGAAGGCGGCUUUCUGGACGGUAACUGACGCUGAGACGCGAAAGCGUGGGGAGCAAACAGGAUUAGAUACCCUGGUAGUCCACGCUGUAAACGAUGAGUGCUAGGUGUCGUGGGUAUUGACCCCCGGGU
rnacentral:rRNA from 1 species